UGGGGAAUAUUGCACAAUGGGGGAAACCCUGAUGCAGCGACGCCGCGUGGAGGAAGAAGGUCUUCGGAUUGUAAACUCCCGUCCCAGGGAAGAAAAUGACGGUACCUGACUAAGAAGCCCCGGCUAACUACGUGCCAGCAGCCGCGGUAAUACGUAGGGGGCAAGCGUUAUCCGGAUUUACUGGGUGUAAAGGGAGCGUAGACGGAGCAGCAAGUCUGAUGUGAAAGGCAGGGGCUCAACCCUGACUGCAUUGGAAACUGUUGAUCUUGAGUACCGGAGGGGUAAGCGGAAUUCCUAGUGUAGCGGUGAAAUGCGUAGAUAUUAGGAGGAACACCAGUGGCGAAGGCGGCUUACUGGACGGUAACUGACGUUGAGGCUCGAAAGCGUGGGGAGCAAACAGGAUUAGAUACC
rnacentral:rRNA from 1 species